CCACCUGUCGCUUCACGUCCCAGGCAGUGGUCCAAUGAGAAAGAAAGACAGGAGGGCAGGAUUCGUCGUGGUCGGGCGAAUUAAUUCUGAAGAAUUCGAGAAAGCAUAAAAAAAAUCCCAUCCACGCCCGGUCAGCCACGGAGACCGUCCAGAUCUCAUCGGACGCUGCCGCCUCCGAUCACAUCGGAUCGAUCGACUCCACGGGAAAGCAACGGUCACACAACUGGCGUGUGGGGGGUUUGUUCUGUUUUUUUCCUUCACAGCUUAGGAGAAGGACGGAACCCUAAGGAUUUGUGUUUUCUUUCCUCUCCUCUCUAUCUUGGAGACUUUUGAACUCUUUGAUUUCAGAUGGCCGUCUCUGGACCGAUGUAAUCGAUGUAUCUGAAUUCUAUUUACUCGAAUUCUUGGAGGCACCUGCUUUAUUUCAAUCUCCAUUGCUGUUUCUUGGUGAGAUCAAGAUAUUUUAAACCAGAUAUCUCGACGGGAUCUACUGAAAAACUGCUUUACCAGCAUCUAACAAAAUAUAAGCUCUGCUGUUCACUAGAGAUCUCAUCUCCGUUGGAAAUUCAACACCUUGACUCCAAAUGAAAAGACAGUCGCAAAGAGCACAGGAAAUGCAAUAACUGCAGCAGCAACUGCUCCCAAGAAGUCAUGUUCGUAUCCAAAGUACCUCCUUACGAAGUGCUUCACGGUUUCACCUGUGUCCAUGGUGGUAUCACCCAUGUCUCCGAACUGUGAGGCAAGCAGGCCAUAAAGAGUCCAAGAAAUUGGGCAUGCCCAGUAGUACCAUCUCCACCAUACAGGUAUCCUCUGUAGUCAAUAAAUGAAAUUUAGUGCUUGAAUCCUUGAAUAAAAAAUAUAUGAUAAAUUAAACUUACCGGACGAGGAAUCACGAAGCCUGCAAAGAGAUUCCAUAUUGCAUAAAAUGCAGUGGAUACUAUUGCAGCAAUGUUUGAAUUGGGUGUCAGUGCCACUGCCAUCAUCCCAUAGUAUGUGAAGUAAAGAAAUGUGAAGAACAUGAAGAAUAUGUACCACAUGAACUUGGCAGCUGUCCAAUCAAAAUUUAUCAUGCUGUACACAAGUAACCCAUAUACCACUGUCUGAAGGAAGGUAUAUGGUAUUUCAAUUGCAACCUGAAUGCAAUAGAAUAAGGUGAGGAGUGAUUCAUGAAAGAAAAGAAAGAAAUGCAUAAAUAUGGUAAUAUUGGUCCCCAAUUGUUAAUGAGGAUCCAGUACAGAAUAACCUGAAAAAUCAUUUGAUUGUUUGAAACAUGACAGUCCUGAAGCAUGAAAUCUUAUACAUUUACCUGUGCAAAUGCAUAUGGUAAAGCAGAAUACAUUCCUGCAGCCUUCUCUCUAUAGAAUACUGUCCGUUCAACAUCCACAAUAGGCUGGACAGUUUGAGAAUUCUGUAUUCCAAUAAACAUGACUGCACAAUACAUUGAUCCCGUGGCAUUGAACAGAUCCUGCUGUGUGGUUCUGCAAAUUUUACGACCACGUAGAGGUGCUUUUGUCAUUACCAAAUUAAAAAAAUCAUAAAUUUGACAUGAAGACAAGAGUUACAUCAAAUUGAAGUAAAGAUCCAGAAUUAAUACGUUUUAGAGCCAAGUCUCCAGAAUAUUGUCCCAAACAUUAGGGCUAUAACUGUUGUAAAGAAUAACCGUAUGGCAUUGUAUGAUGGAUUGCGCCAAUAUGACUUGUACUGUUUCCAGAAGCAAGCGAUGCACUGGAUGAGGGAUGGUUGUGCAUAUUGUGCGGGGAAGUAGAGAUCUUUUGAACCAGGAGGAGGUGUACUGAGUUCUUGAAUCAGAGCUUUGUUUCUCCUGCAAGAAUCACCACAAAAAUUUUCUUAAUACAAGAGGUCAGAGAUGCAGUGAAAGUGCUAGUAGUCAACAUACCUGAAUAAAUCUGAGUUCUUGUAUACUUCAACAAAAUUAACUCCUAGAAUUUCUUCUUGUGCCAUUGAAGUGACUUCCAACAUCCAUGUUGCUGGGUUAUAACCAUCUUUUAUCUUAGCGACUCCACUUAUUCCCUUAAAAAUAAACAAUUGCUAUCAGCACCUAUAACAUGGGAUCUCAUCAAGGGAAAGGAAAAAUUCAUGCAGAUCUAUACUAUUUUUCUCAUCACCUCAAAAUACUUGAUUAGUUCGCAUGAGUUGUGCCCCAGUGGGCCUACAUAGAUCUCUUCACCGCCUCGUUUCAUAAGAAAGAGCUGCAAUUUUGGUAAAAUUAGACAUCAAAACAAUAGUACCAAUAAGCCAAAAGAACCCCUCUGGCUGGUCUGGCACAGAAAGGUCAUGGAAUUGUGGUGCAUUAGCAUAUCCAUCUCUAAGGAGGAACAGCAAAUUUUGCUUUUCCAGUUAUCUCUUACCUCAUCGAAGGCUUCAAAAAUGUCAAUACUAGGUUGGUGAAUUGUGCACACAACUGUUCUUCCUGUAUCUACCGUGUUCCUGACAGUUCUCAUGACAAUUGCUGCUGCUCGUGCAUCUAGUCCAGAUGUAGGCUCAUCCAUGAAAAUUAUGGAAGGAUUUGCAACAAGCUCAACCGCAAUUGUCAAUCUUUUGCGCUGCUCGGUUGACAGCCCAUUUACACCUGGCAAGCCAACCAUUGCUUUCCUCAGCGGUGUGAGCUCGACUAGUUCCAUAACCUCCUCGAUAAACAUCUGCAUUUAUUGUGUCCACUGUCGAUUAUUGGCUAAACAGACUAGAAGUAAACCAAUUCAUUUAGGCAUUAGUUGAUAUAGACAAGCAUAGACCAAUGUAGGAAAUACUGUUAAGGAUAUAUGAACUCUUCUAAUCUUUAAAAAAUCAAUACAUUGCAUAUGUGCCAUAUCAAUUUAUUCUUCUCCUGCUUAAGAUGCUAGAAAAGAUUUUAAUAACUUGGGCCUUUUUUCUUAGCCAUCAAUAUUGGAAUACUAUAGAGGUACAUUUGCUAAUCUUCUUUAUUCACUAACAUUAGAUUUGAGUUUGCUAUAUAGUUAAAUUUGAUUAAAUGUAAUUGUAGUUUGUUAUAUUAAAAAUCAAUCUUCUGAGCUAGCUGUAUGGACCGACCUUCACUCUUUUUUUUUCUAUCACUAAAAUUUUCAUUCAUCACCACUAUCAUCCAAAUAGCAUCUUACCAUUUGCAUACAAUUUAUAGGAUACCAGAGAUAAUUUCUUUUAAGAUAUAUGGAAUAUUUGAGAUACGCUACUCGAUUAGAAAUGCAUGAUGGAUGUAUUACAUGGUUUCUGGAUGUACAACAAAUCAUAGAAACAUCAAGGAGAGGGAGUUGGACUGGUUCAAUUACAAUAGAGAGGACUUAUUUUAUUUUAUUUUUGAAGAUUUGUCAUCCUAGAAAUGUGUUUUUUAUAAAUUUAUUUAUUUGAUUUAUUUCUGUAAAUAGGUAAUAGAUCUAAAAAUGAAUAUCUUACAUAAAUUGCAUUGAAUAUGGCUUUACUAGAACCACAAUGUUGUUAGUUACUGGUGUAAGAGACCAUAGGCAUCAAGAGUUGAUGGAUCAGAGAAAAGCAAAGUCAAGAGUGAGUAUGAUGUUUAAUAUCAAAGUUCAGUAUAUUAUGUCAUAUGCUAUGUAGCAUGUGUAAGUAUAGCAGACACAGCAUGAAACACAUAAAAAACUAUAUGACCAAAUUAUUAGCCCCAAAAGAAAUUACAAAACACGCCCUCUCUAUAUGUUUUGCUUUUUGUAAGUAGUCACAUGCAUGUGAACAUCAGCAAAAUAUGAGCAUUGAGUUUAAAGAUAUCCUCACAAAUAGUUUUUGGACAAUCCAUGUCAGGUGAUCCAUGCAAUCCUGCUUCUACAAUCACUAGUAUGCCAGUAUGCUAGCCCUUGCCUCUAUUGUUUGUGUAGAUAGAUAAAUGAAACAAGGCACGCAAAAUGUUCAUAAGAAGAGGAAAGAAAGAAAAUUUUCUUUUCCUUCCUUAAAUCUUAUGUAUGCAAUUGUAUUGUUUUUUCAGGGCAUAUAUGUGUUUUGUAUGCAUUAUGUGAUUAAUUAGAAUUUUUAGAUAAGUAUUGUUUAUUUAAUAGUCUCGUGUUUCAUGCCAUGCUCUUUCAGCACUUUAUGAUAUAAAGUGCAAUAAGGAUUGGGAGGAAGAUGCUGCAUGUGGCUGGUCGGUGACAAAUUCCUCAAACAAUAACUGAACAACUGGUUAUACCAAGUUGGGAGCCUGCCUGCAACUUGAUUACAUAAUAUAAAAUGCUUGGAAUCCACUAAGAGAAAUUCCUUGUGUUCUCUACAUCACAAAACAUGAGAAUUUACACCUCAGGUGCUAUUAAGACAUAAAUAAGAUAGAAGCUUAUGAUGAGUGUUUUGUAUAGAUCAUAUAGAAACUGUUAACAUGUGUGACUUAGACACAAAUAACAUAAAGUAUAAUAAGUGGAAAGAAUGGAAUUGCGAAAUAUAAGGUUAGGUCAAUAGUUGUAAUCUGAAAGUGAUACCGAUGAGCUUAUGGAGAAGAUAAGCUGACGUUGAAAAGAAGUAUAUACUUCUUUUCAUGCAUAUAUCGAAUAUACAAUGAACUGAUGAGGCAAUCAACCCACUGGAUCUGAAUAACCAACUUUAUAAACUUAGUCUCAAAUGUGAUAUAUAAUAAAACUUGUUGAACUGAUGGUGUAAUCAACCUACUGGAUCUGUAUAAUCAACUUGUUAUGAGCUUGUGAACAGGUUUUGGUAUUCUAGGAGGUAAUUGCAGAUUACCAACUCAUGAUUAUGUGGUCUAGUCUAACUUUUGCCUGUUCAUUUGCAUAAUAAUAUCAUGAUGCUCCAAUAUAAACUACAUAUCAUCUGAGGAAAUUAUGUAGAAAACAUUCUUUCUAAAGUGUUGUAUUACAUGCUGGCACCGACCCUUUAUUUUUCCUGAAAAAGAAAGACCCAACAUAUAUGUUUAAAUGUCCAGGAAAUGAUGAAUGAUGCAUAUUGUACAUACUACAUGAUGCUACCAUUUGAGCUGUAGGGUGUAAAGUUAUUGCAGUGCCUACCUUUCUUCUGCUAGAAUCAACUUCAGGGGGUAACCUUAGCCAUGCAGAGUAGACAAGAGACUCAUAUAUUGUCACAUGGGGUGAGUGGAUGUCAUUUUGCUCACAGUAUCCUGAUAUCCGUGCAAAAGUUUCCUGCUUCUUUGGAUAACCAGAUAUUUUGAUGCUUCCCUCAAUAUAUCCGCCCGUUUUUCUCCCAGCCAACACGUCCAUCAAUGUUGUCUUACCUGCUCCACUGACACCCAUCAGUGCUGUGAGAACUCCUGGCCUGAAUGCUCCACUUACACCCUUGAGCAGUUCCAAUCGAUCUUCUGUCACUCCUUGAGCUUUCAUUUCCUGUGAGUGUAAAUUAACAAUCAGUCCGCAGUUCUUUGAUUAUAAAUUUAUAAUAAUGUGAAUGACGUAACCUAGCCUUUACUUUGUAAAAUUGCAUAAUAUGUUUGAACUCGAGCAUACCUGUGGCAUGUCCACGGAGUAUUUGACAUCAUCAAAUGUGAGUGAGAGUGGAACAAAUGGAAGUACCAUACCCUUCCUCCUGUUCUGAUUAGCCUCAGUGCUGAUCUCCAUCCCCGUGGUCCUACUUCCACUGCCUCUUGCUGCAGUCAUGUGGAUUUGUAGGUAAGCAUCAGUGUUCCUGUAAAUCAGAUUGCGAACUUUUUUAUUAAACUGACCUUCAGAUGGAUGGCUGGAGUUCCUUUCUCUAGUUGGCAGCUCGACACUUUCACCUGUUCGGUUAGCUUGCUUCUCUUUCAACGCUUCUUCAGAUAUAACUGUUUGGCCUUUUCCAAUUGCUGCAUCAAUGUAAUUUGUCAAUUAGAUCAUUGAUUUAUCCUGCUGAGAAGUGCGACCAGUAUUACUGAGAAACAUUUAAUUUUGGAGGGGAGGGAGCUCACGGUCAAGGUAAGAAAGCGCAACAGUGAAGAAGAAAUUGAAAACCACAAUAUAUCCAAGCAAUGCACCGACACCAAUCCAAUACCAUUUUGCUUGGGGAAAAAGACCUCGAGACUCCAAAACUUGGACUCCCAAAGUUUCUGUGCUAGCAGUCGCAUUAACAACCUGUUUUGAGGAGUCAAUGCUAACUUAGAUCAAUUCCAAUGAAUCAAACUUUUGCAUAUUCAGUAGGGAAUUUCUUACAUAUCUCCAUUUUUUCCCAAGAAAUUCGUUCACAGCUAUUGCAUUCUGUGCAUACAUCAAGGGUGAAGACCAGUAACCCCAGAUCCACCAUUUCCUGAUAUCCUCUGAAGAAAGCAAAGAAGAUUUAGUCAUGCAUUUGUCAUUAGUCUUACUAAUAAAAUUAAAGUUGAGAUAAUGGCUUUUAAUUUGUUGCAAGAAUCUUGGCCUUGUACAGAAGCACAUUAUCUUAAAGACAUCUUACUUCUUGAUAUGACAAAGCCUCCAAGGACUAUGAGCACCAGCUGUGCAAAGGAACCGAAUGUGUUUGCAACAACCAUUUCUCUACCACAUGCAGCCAGGAGCCGGAAGAGUCCAGACGCCAUUUGGCUAACCAGUGCAAAUAUCAAAAAUUGUCUAAACAUCCUGUGCAAAGAAAAUUGUCUGGUUAUUUCAAGACGCUGAAAGAUAUAUAUUACAAAUUUGCAAUCUGGAUUUACUGAUGGUGAUCAGAUUUUUCUAUCCAAUUUCACCUUUGGACAUUUGGAUCAAAACCAAUGACGUAAUAAGUCAUGGCGACAUAGAGACCACAUUCCAAGAAUGAGAUCGGAAUCUUCAGUAUCCACGCAGGUAGUGCAUAUGCCCAGCCAGGAUAAAAUAGGAGAUCUCUUUGCUUGUAAAAGACGGGAAGCUUUGCAAUGCUCAUUGCAAGUUCAGCAAACCCGUUGAACAGAUGCGUGAUAAUACCGAUAAAAAGUGCACCCAUAUAAACUAAACCAUCCUCCGUGUCACUAUGGCCCAUCUUGGUGCGCAGGAAGACCGUCAUUGCAAUAGUUGCAAUCAAACAGAGCUGAAAUUGUUAAAGGCCAGAGCAUGUAAGAUGCAGAAUGAUAUGAAUUUAGGAAUUGUGCAAGGUCUGUCACUGACCUGGAAGAGUUUGAAUAUAUAGACAAAUGAGUUUCUCUUCAUCAGCAAAAACUCUCUCGCCAUGCAAGCUUUCAGCAAUUCUCUCUUGCUAAUUCCAUAUCUUGAUGUAGUUAAAGCAGCUGGAUGGUUUCUGCUCUUGUCGAAAGGGGUGGACAGUUCAAUUUCCAACCUACGACCAACAUGGAAUGACAGAAAUGCAUCUGCAAAUUCCUUAACAGGAAUGAAACGGACAUCUGAAACCCAUGGAUUCAAAAAAUUCAAGUACAUGCUCACGUGGGCCCUGAUACACAAUCUGCCCUUCGGAGAGGAGAAUAAUGUCAUCAAAAAGGUCGUAAGUCUCUGGAGCUGGCUGAAGCAGAGCUAUCAGUGCUGUGCCUCCAAGGAUGUGAACGGACUGCCUGAGGGAAUUGACAAUCUGGAAAGUUGUGGAGCUGUCCAGGCCAGUAGAGAUCUCAUCCAUGAACAGUGCCCUUGCUGGACCGACAAGCAUUUCACCUAUUGACAAGAAGAGACUUGUUCAAGUUUGGCAGUCUUACAACAAAAGGAGUGUUUUUGAGUGCGAGAGUACAAUCCCAAAGGUUCUCAUUAACAGUAAUUCGACCUGUCGUGACUCGCUUCUUUUGCCCUCCAGAGAUACCCCUUAACAUUGCAUCACCGACCAUAGUAUCGGCGCAGAUAUCCAGUCCUAAAAUCUGCAGUUUUAGAGGAAGCAGGGAGAAGAAGAUAGAGUCAUGACUAUUGUGCAUUAGGGUAAGAGAUCUCUGAACUUAUUUGUUGCCCUAAUAUGUCGAGCGCUUGCCUCCAACCUUGCCACUUGUACCUUAUCCUUAAUUGGACUUUAAUAUUUUCUUCUCUAUGUAAUCAUUUUAUCAAUUACCAUCCUGUGGGAUACCUUUUGCAGUAUCUCUGCUCUCAGUAGGAAUGUCUAUAAAAUGGUCAGUGGUUUUGAUUCA